rnacentral:rRNA from 1 species
UACAGAGGGUGCGAGCGUUAAUCGGAAUUACUGGGCGUAAAGCGCGCGUAGGCGGUUUGUUAAGUCGGAUGUGAGAUCCCCGGGCUCAACCUGGGCACUGCAUCCGAUACUGGCUGACUAGAGUACGGGAGAGGGAGGUAGAAUACCAGGUGUAGCGGUGAAAUGCGUAGAGAUCUGGUGGAAUACCGAUGGCGAAGGCAGCCUCCUGGCCUGAUACUGACGCUGAGGUGCGAAAGCAUGGGGAGCGAACAGG